AAGCUGAGUUAGCAGCAUCCUAGCUUGAAAACUUGCAAAACUGCUAGAAUCUUCCAUUUUAAUUUCACAUCAAGCCACCUGGAAUGCCCACCCUAGGGGUCGCUGAGCAGCAAGUCCCUUGAAACCGAGAAAGCCACACUGGAGAAGGUCAGACAGCUUGGAUGGAGAAAAGCAAGCAAAGCUAUUCCACAUGUAUUUUUCACACAGUCAAAUUUAACUAAAAUGUGCUCCCUGGUAGUGCUUUUAACUAACAAGCAGGCAAUAUAUUGCACUGUAAAAUGUUUUAUUUUAACACCUUACAGUUUUUAGCUUGGUGGUGGUUGCAGGUAUAUCCAUUAAAAGCAACACAGACUAUAAAUCAGAAUUCCAUAGCAUUUCACAGCAUAUGAAUCUAUUCUGCUGGUGAGCACACAUCUCGAAUUGACUGGUGAUGGGGGGGGAGGUUGUGUGUGUGACAUGUUUGUGCAGGGGAGAAGAGACCACUCUAUCCAUGUGAAUUAUGAUUUCUCAGACAGGUGACUGUAUGUAGACAAGAGACACCACCGGAGUUUAUUGUAGCUGUUUAGAAACAGAUUCUGUGCUACUUGUCUGCAGAGGAAUCGUCUUUUUUUUUUUUUUAAGAAAAAUACAGAGGCAAACCAUUCGCAAAGUUACAAUUCACAGUUCACUAUACCACAGUGUGAUACCCGUUCUUACAUGUGUCCAAGUUCAUAGGAGUAACUGUGACUAAUUCUCAAUAUCUAAGACACUAACGCUUCUUCUGAAAUUAAAGCUAUGUUCAGUGUUUGCCAUGGAGUCUCUUCUCAGAUGAAGAGAUUUUUCAUGAGUCAUAAAUCUUUUAGGUCACUGCUAAAAGAAAAAAAAGGAUGCACUGGCUUUAAGGGAAUGUACUCCUUACAUUUAAAAAAUAAAUAAAUGCUAAAAGAGUCUCUGCCACAUACAGACGCUGUGUGAUUAUUUUACAUAUUUCAUUCUUUUGAUCAAUAUUUUCUUUGCUUUUUUUGUUUGUUUGCAUUUUCACUUCCAAAAAAGGGAACCUAGGAAUAAUGCAAGUUACAAAAACAGAUGUAGAAAAUAUGUUUUAAAGCGGCUUAAAUUUCCAUAUUUUACAAUAGAUAUUUCACACCUGCAUAGAAAGGUUGACACCCAGCAGAUGCAUCUAGCAGCAUGUGAUUAACAGAGGGCUUUUACCAAGGAAAAAAAAAUCUAUAUCCAGAGAAAUCUAUCCACUGGAAUAAACUAGCUCCUAUCUUUUGCUUUUUCUUCACUUUGUUUAAAGGACAGCUUCCCAAGAAGAUGCUGGAAAGAUCCACUCACUUCUAUACACAACAACAUCAAAUAUUGCUUAUGAUUGGCACUGUCCUUUCUAAGUACUUCAGGGGACUUAAAGGCCAUGACAAUAUUUAACUACUCAUUUCUGCUUACAUGGCUGUGGUAGAAAGAACCACAGAAUAGUGAUCCCUCCAAAAGAGAAAAAAAUUAGAGAGUGGCACCGUGGAAUUUAUGAAUGAGAGUGUUUGGGCUGCAAAGCAUUCCCAUUAUAACCCUCAGCCACCACAAAACUGCUGUGUAAUGGGAAGGGAACUUUUUCCCAUGCAAAGAACUCCGCUGUUGGCACCAGCGCAUGUGCUACAGGACACACACCUGUGGGCAAUCUUUCUCCCUCUCCGGGAGCCCAGCCCUUGCCUGCAUCCCAGAUCAUAGAGAAGUCUACAUCUGAAAAGACCACAGAUCUAAGAGGAACAGGCUGAGGGAUCGAUAAACCCUGGAGGUCAUUCCAUCAGCUCAGUCUAAAGGUAAGGACAAGGACACACAGGUAUAGGCAGGCACAGGCACACACACACACACACACACACACACACACACACAAUAAACACUUUGCAUGAGCACAGACCAUCAGACAUCUCAGCUUCUUCAGCCCAUCUCAAAGCCAUUUGUCCUGCCUAUGUCUAAAGGCUGACCUUCUUAGAGUUUAUUUACCCAGAACUAUGAGGAACCAAUUCAAAUGAUAUCCUGAAUGCCAACCUGGCUGAGAAACAAUCCAUUUCCUCUAAACAAGUUUGGGUAUAUUACUAAUUUCCCAAAGGAAAAAAAAGGUGUGUAGGGGUGUGUGUGUGUGUGUGUGUGUGUGUGUGUGUGUGUGUGUGUGUGUGUGUGUGUGUGUGUGUGUGUGUGUGUGUGUGUGUUGGUUUCCCAGCCAAAAAAAAAAAAAAAAACCCAUAAUGAGUCCCAAAAUAUUUACCAUCUUUCUUGGCUAACUUCAACAAAUAAACAUAUCUUGUAAACAGAAUUAUACCAUGGAUUUCUUAUUUAUUAGUCUAAGUUAAUGGUUAAAAAUCUAAGUUCUUAAAUUCAAUACAAAACUUACAUGUUUUCAUGACUUCCUGAUGUGUUACGUAUAUUAGUUCUUACUUAUCAAAUAUUCACAGUAAAAGGUAUGAAAGGUUAAAGAGGAAGUCAUGAUAAGGAACUACUAGGUACAUGGCUUUAGGUAAGCUAGUAUGGACAGUGAAG